rnacentral:rRNA from 1 species
GCGGCGGACGGGUGAGUAACACGUGGGUAACCUGCCCAUAAGACUGGGAUAACUCCGGGAAACCGGGGCUAAUACCGGAUAACAUUUUGAACUGCAUGGUUCGAAAUUGAAAGGCGGCUUCGGCUGUCACUUAUGGAUGGACCCGCGUCGCAUUAGCUAGUUGGUGAGGUAACGGCUCACCAAGGCAACGAUGCGUAGCCGACCUGAGAGGGUGAUCGGCCACACUGGGACUGAGACACGGCCCAGACUCCUACGGGAGGCAGCAGUAGGGAAUCUUCCGCAAUGGACGAAAGUCUGACGGAGCAACGCCGCGUGAGUGAUGAAGGCUUUCGGGUCGUAAAACUCUGUUGUUAGGGAAGAACAAGUGCUAGUUGAAUAAGCUGGCACCUUGACGGUACCUAACCAGAAAGCCACGGCUAACUACGUGCCAGCAGCCGCGGUAAUACGUAGGUGGCAAGCGUUAUCCGGGAUUAUUGGGGCGUAAAGCGCGCGCAGGUCGGUCUUCUUAAGUCUGAUGUGAAAGCCCCACGGCUCAACCGUGGAGGGUCCAUUGGCAAACUGGGGAGACUUGGAGUGCAGAAGGAGGAAAGGU